rnacentral:miRNA from 14 species
CACAUCCUGGGAGGGGCAGCCCCUGGUGCCCACAGAACCAGGGGUUCUGAGCUCUACCCUUCCAUAG